rnacentral:tRNA from 1 species
GCGGGUGUAGCUCAGGGGUAGAGCACUGGUUUUCCACACCAGGUGUCGCGGGUUCAAAUCCCGCCGUCCGCU